UACGGGAGGCAGCAGUGGGGAAUAUUGCACAAUGGGCGCAAGCCUGAUGCAGCCAUGCCGCGUGUAUGAAAAAGGCCUUCGGGUUGUAAAGUACUUUCAGUCGUGAGGAAGGUGUUAAGGUUAAUAACCUUAGCAAUUGACGUUAGCGACAGAAGAAGCACCGGCUAACUCCGUGCCAGCAGCCGCGGUAAUACGGAGGGUGCGAGCGUUAAUCGGAAUUACUGGGCGUAAAGGGCACGCAGGCGGUUAAUUAAGUUGGAUGUGAAAUCCCCGGGCUUAACCUGGGAAUGGCAUUCAAGACUGGUUAGCUAGAGUCUUGUAGAGGGGGUAGAAUUCCAUGUGUAGCGGUGAAAUGCGUAGAGAUGUGGAGGAAUACCGGUGGCGAAGGCGGCCCCGUGGACAAAGACUGACGCUCAUGUGCGAAAGCGUGGGGAGCGAAACAGGGAUUAGAUACC
rnacentral:rRNA from 1 species